UACGUAGGGUGCAAGCGUUGUCCGGAAUUAUUGGGCGUAAAGAGCUCGUAGGCGGUUUGUCGCGUCUGCUGUGAAAACUCGGGGCUUAACUCCGGGCCUGCAGUGGGUACGGGCAGACUAGAGUGCGGUAGGGGAGACUGGAAUUCCUGGUGUAGCGGUGAAAUGCGCAGAUAUCAGGAGGAACACCGGUGGCGAAGGCGGGUCUCUGGGACGGUACUGACGCUGAGACGCGAAAGCGUGGGGAGCGAACAGG
rnacentral:rRNA from 1 species